AAGAGGUUGGAAACAACAAAGACUGCUAAUCUUUGCCCCCACAGUUAAACU
rnacentral:tRNA from 1 species